ACAUUCAAAAACAAAUAGGUCAUUAGGUGGCAGAGAGGAGAGAGGCUUGCCUAUGCCCAGCAUCCUGGCCAUGGACAUCUGGAUAGUUGAUAGCCUGACACU
ensembl:snoRNA